GGUUGCUUCCACUAGAGUUAAGCAGAAAUUUAGCUGCGGUAAGCUUAUUAACGAGUAAAAUUAAAAACGAAAGUUACUCUAUUACCCCCUACCCUUGAAUCCACGACAGUUAGGGUACAAACUGGGAUUAGAUACCCCACUAUGCCUAACCGUAAAAAUUAAUUUACACCACCCGCGCCAGGGUAUUAUAAGCUAAGCUUCAAACCCAAAGGACUUGACGGUGUCCCAUCCCUCUAGAGGAGCCUGUCCUGUAACCGAUGAUCCGCGUUUUACCUUACCGCCUCUUGCUUAAAAGCUAUGCUUAAAGCUCUUGCUUAAAAGCUAUGCUUAAAGCUCUUGCUAAAGCUCUUGCUAAAGCUCUUGCUAAAGCUCUUGCUAAAGCUCUUGCUAAAGCUCUUGCUAAAGCUCUUGCCUCAGCCUGUAUACCUCCGUCGCAAGCUUGCCAUAUGAAUGACAGCAUAGCACAGCUUAAUGAUACUUACACCAAUACGUCAGGUCAAGGUGCAGCUUAUGAAGCGGGCAAAGAUGGGCUACAAUUUCUAUGAUAGAACAAACGGAACAGCUAGAUGAAAACUACUGUUGAAGGUGGAUUUAGUAGUAAAAAGAAAAUAGAAUGUUCUUUUUAAUUCUUGGCCCUGGGACGCGUACAGACCGCCCGUCACCCUCUUCGAUAGCUUUACUCAAUGUUCGUAACCAACUUUUCGCGCCUUAGAAGAGGCAAGUCGUAACAUGGUAAGUGUACUGGAAAGUGCACUUGGAUAAUCAAAAUGUAGCUUAACAAAAGUAAUUCGCUUACACCGUAAAGAUGUCCCUUAACUGGGGCCAUUUUGAGCCUAAAAUCUAGCCCAACCCACCACAUGUAAAAACCCCUAAUACUCAACAAAAUAAAACAUUUUAUCUUUUAAGUAAGAGUGACUGAAAACUUUUUAUGGAGCAAAAGAACCAGUACCGCAAGGGAAUGAUGAAAUAGUAUUGAAAUAAUCUUAAAGCAACAAAAAGCAGAGCCUUCACUCGUACCUUUUGCAUCAUGAUCUAGCUAGUUGACUCUAGCAAAACAAAACUUUUAGUUAGACCCCCCGAAACUGAGUGAGCUACUUUAAAAUAGUUUCCAAGAACUAACCCGUCUCUGUCGCAAAAGAGUGGGAAAAUUUUUAAGUAGAGGUGAUAAGCCUACCGAACUCAGAGAUAGCUGGUUGUUCAGGAAAAGAAUUUUAGUUCUGCCUUAAGACUCCCUAUUACAAAAAACAAUAAUUAAGUCUUAAGACUUAUUUAAACAAGGCACAGCUUGUUUGAAAUAGGACACAACCUAAAAAAUAGGGUAAACUCCAAAUCCAUAAACUAAGUGGGCCUAAAAGCAGCCAUCUUUAAAAAAGCGUUAAAGCUUACUUACAUCUAACUUACAAAUCCCACAAAUAAACUUCAACCCUUUAUUACUACUGAACAAUUUCAUAAAAAUAUGAAAUCUAUCCUGCUAGAACUAGUAACAAGAAAGCGACUUUCUCCUAAAUAUAAGCUUACACCAACAUUGACCUACUAUUGGUAUUCAACGUUACUGACUUCACUAUAAUAACUAACCCAAGCAAACUUUACAAUCCCCAACGUUACCCUAACACAAGAAUAUUUUAGGAAAGAUUAAAAGAGAAAGAAGGAACUCGGCAAGAUAUUGACCCCGCCUGUUUACCAAAAACAUCGCCUCCUGAGUAAGAUAGGAGGUCCAGCCUGCCCAGUGACUUUGUUCAACGGCCUCGGUAUUCUGACCGCGCGAAGGUAGCAUAAUAACUUGUUCUUUAAAUAGGGACUAGUAUCAACGGCAUCACGAGGGUUACCCUGUCUCCUCUCUCUAAUCAGUGAACCUGACCUCUUCGUGAAGAGGCGAAGAUAUAUAUAUAAGACGAGAAGACCCCAUGGAGCUUAAAACAUAGAAACAACUUCUUUACCACAAACCCUAAAAAAAUAAGAAAACCUGUUAACUAGUUUUCGGCUGGGGUGCCCAAGGAGAAUAACCCAACCUCCCUGACGAUCUAUAUUCAAGAGCAACAACUCGAAGAAACAAUAAAUUGACGUAAAAUGACCCGAUUUUAUUAAUCGAUCAACGAACCAAGUUACCCUGGGGAUAACAGCGCAAUCCAUUUCAAGAGCCCCUAUCGACAAAUGGGUUUACGACCUCGAUGUUGGAUCAGGGUAUCCUGGUGGUGCAGCAGCUACUAAAGGUU
rnacentral:rRNA from 1 species